rnacentral:rRNA from 1 species
GACCGAUAGCGAACMAGUACCGUGAGGGAAAGGUGAAAAGCACCCCGAYRAGGGGAGUGAAACAGUUCCUGAAACCGGAUGCUUACAAACAGUGGGAGCCAUCAUUGGUGACCGCGUACCUUUUGUAUAAUGGGUCAGCGACUUAAAGUUACGAGCRAGCUUAAGCCGRUAGGUGKAGGCGYAGCGAAAGCGAGUCUGAACAGGGCGUUCAGUUCGUGGSWUUAGACCCGAAACCGRGUGAUCUAGCCAUGWGCAGGMUGAAGGUGSGGUAACACSCACUGRAGGKCCGAACCAGUGCCCGUUGAAAAGGUCUUGGAUGACKUGUGGCUAGGGGUGAAAGGCCAAUCAARCYSGGARAUAGCUGGUUCUCCGCGAAAWCUAUUKAGGUAGWGCSUCGGAUGAAUACYCCAGGGGGUAGAGCACUGGAUGGGCUAGGGGGACUCACCGUCUUACCAAACCUAACCAAACUCCGAAUACCUGGRAGUACURYCCGGSAGACACACGGCGGGUGCUAACGUCCGUCGUGGAGAGGGMAACAACCCUGACCWMCAKCUAAGGYCCCCAAGUYAUGGCUAAGUGGGAAAGGAUGUGRRRAUCCCAAAACAACCAGGAKGUUGGCUUAGAAGCAGCCAUCMUUUAAAGAAAGCGUAACAGCUCACUGGUCUAAUUAAGGGUCUUUGCGCCGAAAAUGUACCGGGGCUCAAGCCAUACACCGAAGCUGUGGAUUGUCCGAUCUUGAUCGGGCAGUGGUAGCGGAGCGUUCCCUAGGCCGUUGAAGCCGUACCCGUGAGGGGCKGUGGAGGUAUSGGAAGUGCGAAUGCWGACAUGAGUARCGAUAAAGRGUGUGARAGACACCCUCGCCGAAAGUCCAAGGGUUCCUGCUUAAAGUUAAUCUGAGCAGGGUUAGYCGGCCCCUAAGGCGAGGCCGAAAGGCGUAGUCGAUGGGAACCACGUUAAUAAUCGUGGGCCUGGUGGAGAGUGACGGAUCCCGUGUAUCGUAUGGUCUUAUUGGAUUG